rnacentral:SRP_RNA from 1 species
ACCGGGGCGGUAGCGGUGCCCUGUACUUGCAAUCCGCUAUAGCAAGGGUUAUGUCUUUUACGAGGGUUAUUCUUUGUGCAGUCCUGCGCAUUGUAAGUGGUGUUGACGGCAAGGCCUUACGCAAUACACGGCUGUGAAUCAGGUCAGGUGGGGAACCAAGCAGCCUUAAGCAGUUUUGUUGUAUGUGCCGUAAGUUUCCCUUGCCUGAGCUAACUGCAAUGUUGCGUGCG